UACGUAGGGUGCAAGCGUUGUCCGGAAUUAUUGGGCGUAAAGAGCUCGUAGGCGGUUUGUCGCGUCUGCUGUGAAAACUCGGGGCUUAACUCCGGGCCUGCAGUGGGUACGGGCAGACUAGAGUGCGGUAGGGGAGACUGGAAUUCCUGGUGUAGCGGUGAAAUGCGCAGAUAUCAGGAGGAACACCGGUGGCGAAGGCGGGUCUCUGGGCCGAUACUGACGCUGAGGAGCGAAAGCGUGGGUAGCAAACAGG
rnacentral:rRNA from 1 species